rnacentral:rRNA from 1 species
GAUGAACGCUGGCGGCGUGCCUAAUACAUGCAAGUCGAGCGAACAGACGAGGAGCUUGCUCCUCUGACGUUAGCGGCGGACGGGUGAGUAACACGUGGAUAACCUACCUAUAAGACUGGGAUAACUUCGGGAAACCGGAGCUAAUACCGGAUAAUAUAUUGAACCGCAUGGUUCAAUAGUGAAAGACGGUUUUGCUGUCACUUAUCGAUGGAUCCGCGCCGCAUUAGCUAGUUGGUAAGGUAACGGCUUACCAAGGCGACGAUGCGUAGCCGACCUGCGAGGGUGAUCGGCCACACUGGAACUGAGACACGGUCCAGACUCCUACGGGAGGCAGCAGUAGGGAAUCUUCCGCAAUGGGCGAAAGCCUGACGGAGCAACGCCGCGUGAGUGAUGAAGGUCUUCGGAUCGUAAAACUCUGUUAUUAGGGAAGAACAAAUGUGUAAGUAACUAUGCACGUCUUGACGGUACCUAAUCAGAAAGCCACGGCUAACUACGUG